UACAGAGGUCUCAAGCGUUUGUUCGGAUUCAUUGGGCGUAAAGGGCGCGUAGGCGGCCUGGCAAGUGGAAGGUGAAAUCCCUCGGCUUAACCGAGGAACUGCCCUCCAAACUGCUUGGCUUGAGACCGGGAGAGGUGAGUGGAAUUCCCAGUGUAGCGGUGAAAUGCGUAGAUAUUGGGAGGAACACCAGUGGCGAAGGCGGCUCACUGGACCGGUACUGACGCUGAUGCGCGAAAGCGUGGGGAGCAAACGGG
rnacentral:rRNA from 1 species